CAGUCGCCGCGGGAAUACGGAGGGCGCGAGCGUUACCCGGAUUUACUGGGCGUAAAGGGCGUGUAGGCGGCCUGGGGCGUCCCAUGUGAAAGGCCACGGCUCAACCGUGGAGGAGCGUGGGAUACGCUCAGGCUAGAGGGUGGGAGAGGGUGGUGGAAUUCCCGGAGUAGCGGUGAAAUGCGCAGAUACCGGGAGGAACGCCGAUGGCGAGGGCAGCCACCUGGUCCACUUCUGACGCUGAGGCGCGAAAGCGUGGGGAGCAAACCGGAUUAGAUACCCCAGUAGUCCCUGUCUCUUAUAC
rnacentral:rRNA from 1 species